rnacentral:rRNA from 1 species
UACGUAGGGGGCAAGCGUUGUCCGGAAUCAUUGGGCGUAAAGAGCGUGUAGGCGGCCCGAUAAGUCCGCUGUGAAAGUCCAGGGCUCAACCCUGGGAUGCCGGUGGAUACUGUCGGGCUCGAGUCCGGAAGAGGAGUGUGGAAUUCCUGGUGUAGCGGUGAAAUGCGCAGAUAUCAGGAGGAACACCAAUGGCGAAGGCAGCACUCUGGGACGUGACUGACGUUCAUGCACGAAAGCGUGGGGAGCAAACAGG